ACUGAGCUGAACUUAUGUGGAGAACGAUAAAAAUACAGUUUGUAUUAUUGUAUUAUUUGAGCCCAGAGCUGCGUUAGAGACCGUUUAAACAGAGUGCGAGAGUUCAACGGAUCACUGAGGAUUCAGAACGGCGGGAAUUUAAUAAAAAAAGGGACUUCUUUAAACCUGACAGCGUGAAGACAUCCGUCAGAAUAUACAUCGAUGAAAAAUUAGGAAAAAAACAAGAUUACUACUCGAACUGUCUCUUUUCUGCAUGUUAUAAGGGAAACGAAGGAGCACCAGAUGAGCAGCUCCCUCAGAGUUCUUCUGGAGCGCGUAACUCAACGUUAUAUUUGAUAUCGCUGACAUGAGCUUGGUUCAGAUGAAGUUCUGAAGAUCAGCGCAGAAUUCAGUAAUCUUGUGGAUGGACCGCAGCGAGUCCUUUUCCAGUUGUAUCCAUCAAAAUGCUUUGCAGACAUAAUGGAAAUGACAUUCACAUUGUAGAGUUUGGACAAAGUUCACACAGGCUCGGAGCAGGGAUUCAUCAAGGACAUGUCUGUUGGGAUUACGCUUGUGGAUGACCAAACUGAGCACCAGCGAUCUGCAGUGAUGUGGUCCAGCCAUCCGGUGAAAUUAGGGAUGUUGAGAAAGAAAUUGACGAGGGCAUUCUGAUUAUAACUGAGGAGCAGCAAUGUGAUGUGCUUCCCAAGGAAUAACCAACAUUGCUCUCAUUUGGACAUCCUGUCAUCACUGACAUCUCCCAUGUCCCCAAGGUGUUUGGACUCCUAAUGGGUCUGUAUGCAGUGAACAUCCACUACCUCAAGCUCAUGAAAUACACCAUUGAGGCUCUGCAAAAACUUGUGAAGAACAUCUGCUCCCACCAUGUGCUCGCUACAGCGGCAGGAAUUGUAGGUGUGGGGGAGUGAAUGUACAGCGCUCUCUCCCUCCUUCAAUACCACGACUGAGGUGCCCUUGAGCAAGGCACCGUACCCCAACUGCUCCCCGGGCACC